GGGGUGGGUGAUUAUAUAAGUUAUCGUUUAUUUGAUAGUACCUUACUACUUGGAUAACCGUGGUAAUUCUAGAGCUAAUACAUGCUAAAAAUCCCGACUUCGGAAGGGAUGUAUUUAUUAGAUUAAAAACCAAUGCCCUUCGGGGCUCUCUGGUGAUUCAUGAUAACUUCUCGAAUCGCACGGCCUUGCGCCGGCGAUGGCUCAUUCAAAUUUCUUCCCUAUCAACUUUCGAUGUUUGGGUCUUGGCCAAACAUGGUUGCAACGGGUAACGGAGGGUUAGGGCUCGACCCCGGAGAAGGAGCCUGAGAAACGGCUACUACAUCCAAGGAAGGCAGCAGGCGCGCAAAUUACCCAAUCCCGACACGGGGAGGUAGUGACAAUAAAUACUGAUACAGGGCUCUUUUGGGUCUUGUAAUUGGAAUGAGUACAAUUUAAAUCCCUUAACGAGGAACAAUUGGAGGGCAAGUCUGGUGCCAGCAGCCGCGGUAAUUCCAGCUCCAAUAGCGUAUAUUAAAGUUGUUGUGGUUAAAAAGCUCGUAGUUGAACCU
rnacentral:rRNA from 1 species